CGCCUAUUAGCUAGCCGCUUAAACUAAAAACAACAAACUAUUAUUUAUACCCCCUAAAUCACUCAAUUACAUAAAGUAAACCAUUUUUCCCCCUAAGUAUGGGCGACAGAAAAGGAAUUCCCGCGCUAUAGAGGAAGUACCGCAAGGGAAUGCUGAAAGAGAAAUGAAAUAACCUAGUAAAGCCCAAGAAAGCAGAGACUUUACCUCGUACCUUUUGCAUCAUGAUUUAGCCAGAAAAUUACAAGCAAAGAGCACUUUAGUUUGACCUCCCGAAACUACGUGAGCUACUUCAAGACAGCCUAGCAAUUAAGGGCAAACCCGUCUCUGUUGCAAAAGAGUGGGAAGAGCUUUAAGUAGAGGUGACAGACCUACCGAACCUAGUUAUAGCUGGUUGCCUGAGAAAUGAAUAGGAGUUCAGCCUCCCGGGUUCUCCCCUCAAACUAGUGGCAUCUCCCACAUCCCCCCACCCGGCAUAGACACCAUGAGAAACCGAGAGAGUUAGUCAAAGGGGGUACAGCCCCUUUGACCUAGGAUACAACUUUAUUAGAAGGGUAAAGAACAUAUCCAAAUAUUUAAGGUAAGAUGUGCUGGUGGGCCUAAGAGCAGCCACCCCCCCCCCAGAAAGCGUUAAAGCUCAGACAUACUCACCACCCCCAAUCCCGAUAACUUAAUCUUAACCCCCUUAACCUUACCAGGCCGCCCCAUGCAAACAUGGGAGUGACCCUGCUAAUAUGAGUAAUAAGAGAGCAUCAAUCCCCCUCUCUCUCCCCGCACAAGUGUAACUCGGAACGGACCCCCCACCGAACUUUAACGUCCCCAAACAAAGAGGGCCUUGAAUAACAGACGUAUUAACUAGAAAAACAUUCAACCUAACUCAACCGUUGAACCCACACUGGUGUGCUUUCCGGGAAAGACUAACCGAAAAAGAAGGAACUCGGCAAACACAUAAAGCCUCGCCUGUUUACCAAAAACAUCGCCUCUUGCCAAACUUUAACGAAUAAGAGGUCCUGCCUGCCCCCUGACCAUGUAGUUUAACGGCCGCGGUAUUUUAACCGUGCAAAGGUAGCGUAAUCAUUUGUCUUUUAAAUAAGGACCCGUAUGAACGGCAACACGAGGGCUUGACUGUCUCCUUUUUCAAGUCAAUGAAAUUGAUUUUUCCGUGCAGAAGCGGGAAUUUUUACAUAAGACGAGAAGACCCUGUGGAGCUUUAGACACCAAGACAGACUAUGUAAGAACAGCCCUUUAUUAAAAGACCGAACAAAUUUUACCUGCCCUAAUGUCUUCGGUUGGGGCGACCCUGGGGAAUUACAAAACCCCCACGUGGAAUGGAAGCGACACAACUUAUGCUACCACAACCGAGAGCUUCCCCUCAAAUUAACAGAAUUUCUGACCAAACAUGAUCCGGCAACGCCGAUUAACGAACCAAGUUACCCCAGGGAUAACAGCGCAAUCCUCUUUUAGAGCCCAUAUCGACAAGAAGGUUUACGACCUCGAUGUUGGAUCAGGACAUCCUAAUGGUGCAACCGCUAUUAAGGGUUCGUUUGUUCAACGAUUAAAGUCCUACGUGAUCUGAGUUCAGACCGGAGCAAUCCAGGUCAGUUUCUAUCUAUGCCAUGCCCCUUUCCAGUACGAAAGGACCGAAAAGAAGAGGCCCAUACCUCUAGUACGCCUCCCCCUUACCCGAUGUAGACAACUAAACCAGAUAAAAGGGCAUACCCCCUCCCACCCCCUGCCUGAGAGAUAAGGCUUGAC
rnacentral:rRNA from 1 species